UUCACCGAACUCUGAUCCUUUGCACGAUCUGCCCAAUAAGGAGUGAAGCCAACUAUGUAGAUCUCCUCGCUACCGCAGUAUAUCUUAGCCUUAAAGCUAUCCGGAAGACUGCCACCGCCUCUCUUAUGGCUAAAGCUCUCGUCCUAUGUCUGGAUACUUCUCCUAUAGGUUCUGUCAUCAACGACUAUACCCACCACUGAUCUAGCAAUUGUUAUCGCUGUUGCCUCGACAACUCCACCAAUCACACC
rnacentral:lncRNA from 1 species